AGUGAACGCUGGCGGUAGGCCUAACACAUGCAAGUCGAACGGCAGCACAGUAAGAGCUUGCUCUUACGGGUGGCGAGUGGCGGACGGGUGAGGAAUACAUCGGAAUCUACUUUUUCGUGGGGGAUAACGUAGGGAAACUUACGCUAAUACCGCAUACGACCUACGGGUGAAAGCAGGGGAUCUUCGGACCUUGCGCGAUUGAAUGAGCCGAUGUCGGAUUAGCUAGUUGGCGGGGUAAAGGCCCACCAAGGCGACGAUCCGUAGCUGGUCUGAGAGGAUAAUCAGCCACACUGGAACUGAGACACGGUCCAGACUCCUACGGGAGGCAGCAGUGGGGAAUAUUGGACAAUGGGCGCAGGCCUGAUCCAGCCAUACCGCGUGGGUGAAGAAGGCCUUCGGGUUGUAAAGCCCUUUUGUUGGGAAAGAAAAGCAGCAGGUUAAUACCCCGCUGUUCUGACGGUACCCAAAGAAUAAGCACCGGCUAACUUCGUG
rnacentral:rRNA from 1 species